rnacentral:rRNA from 1 species
UACGUAGAGUGCGAGCGUUGUCCGGAAUUAUUGGGCGUAAAGAGCUCGUAGGCGGUUUGUUGCGUCGGCCGUGAAAACCUGCAGCUUAACUGUGGGCCUGCGGCCGAUACGGGCAGACUUGAGUUCGGUAGGGGAGACUGGAAUUCCUGGUGUAGCGGUGAAAUGCGCAGAUAUCAGGAGGAACACCGGUGGCGAAGGCGGGUCUCUGGGCCGAUACUGACGCUGAGGAGCGAAAGCGUGGGGAGCGAACAGG